CCUGAAAGCCAGCAAUAUUUUGUUGGAUGCAGAGAUGAAUCCAAAUAUUUCGGAUUUUGGUAUGGCAAGGAUCUUCGGGGGUAACCAAAAUGAAGCAAAUACAGUACGAGUAGUCGGCACAUACGGAUAUAUGUCUCCUGAAUAUGCGAUGGAAGGACUAUUUUUGAGCAAGUCCGAUGUGUACAGCUUUGGAGUAUUGUUGUUAGAAAUCAUUAGCGGCCGGCGAAAUACUAGCUUUUGAUCAGCCAAUUACACGAGUCUUAUAGCAUACGCAUGGAGUCUUUGGAACGAAGAUAAAGCUAUGGAGCUCAUCGAUCCUUCAAUUAAGGAUUCAUGCUCGACAAAAGUAGUGUUGAAAUGCAUACACAUAGGCAUGCUGUGUGUGCAGGACUCGGCAAUGAACAGACCGACAAUGGC